UACGGAAGGUGCAAGCAUUAAUCGGAAUUAUUGGGCGUAAAGGGCGCGUAGGCGGCUGGGCAAGUCUGAUGUGAAAUUCCAAAGCUCAACUUUGGAGCUGCAUUAGAAACUGCCUAGCUAGAGGGAUGGCGGAGAAAAUGGAAUUCCACGUGUAGCGGUGAAAUGCGUAGAUAUGUGGAAGAACACCAGUGGCGAAAGCGGUUUUCUAGCUUUUACCUGACGCUGAGGCGCGAGAGCAAGGGGAGCAAACAGG
rnacentral:rRNA from 1 species